UUAUUAUUUUUUCUCGAUAUAAAAUGGGCAAUGAAUUUAUAUAUAUUAAUGUUACAAAAUUAUUUAUAAUAAAUUUAUUGAAAUGAAAUGUUAUUCGUAUUUUAAUAUAUCUAGUUUUUUAAGAAAUAAAUUUAAUUUAUUUGUUGAUAAUUAAUAAUCUUAUUUUUUAGUUUAUUAAUAGUUGACAGAAAAUAUUAUUAGGGAUAAGCUUAAUAGUAAAAGUUUAAUAUAUUUUAUAUUAAGUAUUUAGUGGGAAUAGAAGUUUCUUUCUAUAAUUAGUGUGUUAUUACAAUAUAUUUGGUUAAAAAGAUUUGUAUGAUAUUUAAAUAGUUUAUUAGAAUAUUUAAUUUAAUGGAUUAAUUUAAGUAAUAAUGAUUAAAUUAGUAUAAAUAGGUUGUAUAGUUAUUAUUUAUUGUAAGAUAAAAUAAAGUAAUUCGGCAAAAUAGUUUUCGCCUGUUUAUUAAAAACAUGGUUUUUUGAUUAUAAUUUAAAAUUUGACCUGCCCUAUGAGGAAUUAAAUGGCUGCAGUAUUUUGACUGUACAAAGGUAGCAUAAUAAUUAGUUUUUUAAUUGAGAACUGGAAUGAAAGGUUGGACGAGAAAUUAACUGUCUCUAUUUUAUUUAUAUAAUUUUAUUUUUAAGUAAAAAAGCUUAAAUAUGAUUAAAAGACGAGAAGACCCUAUAGAACUUUAUAUUUAUAGAAUAUGAGUUAUUUAGUAUUAUUAAUGUUUUUAUUUGAUUAAGUAUUAUGUUGGGGUGAUAGGAAAAUUGAAUUAACUUUUUUAUUUUAUUAAUAUUUAUUUAUAGAUUUUUGAUCCAUUGUUAAUGAUUAUUAGAUUAAGUUACCUUAGGGAUAACAGCGUAAUUUCUUUUAAGAGUUCUUAUUUAAAAAGAAGAUUGCGACCUCGAUGUUGGAUUAAAUUUAAUAGUAGGUGAAGGAGCUUAUUUAUUUGGUCUGUUCGA
rnacentral:rRNA from 1 species